UACAUAAAUUGAGGAUAACAGUGUCUGGUUCAACAACGAUGCUGUAUUAUUAUACUGUCAUAAUUCCUAACAACAAUUAGAAGAGAGCUUUCUGGGCACCAAGAUAUUGUUCUCUGACUUUGGAGAACUCUGUUCUGGAAGUCUUGAGAUUUCUACAAGUAUAUUCACUCACUGGGCUUUUUGCCUCCUUCUGAGUUGACAUAGAGCCUCAAAGUGCUCACUCAGUUCUGCCUUUCUUGAGGGGGCACUUCAUUUCUGCUAGCUUCAGUCUUCUCAGCCACAUCUCACGGAAAACUCCCCUAAAAGAACAAGAGUCAAUGAAUGUGAAAUGUAGUGUCAGUUUUACUGGACUCUGGACGCCUUUCAGCACUGUGGACUUUUUGUGAUGUGGCCUAUUCAGGAGCAGACUGCGGCUGCAUGCAGAGAUGGGGAAAAGAAGAAAAGCCUUUCCUAUUUUGUGAUUGCCAUAGUAACUCAAACAUUGCCAGUGUGUUUGCUGGUCCGGUCGGCCGCAGCCUGUGAGCUUCAUUUCCUGUGCAAUCAAGCCCUCUACUGGAGAUCAUGGCUCGGGUGACACGGGGCUACACAGAGGACAGUGUGCUUGUUAGGCCUGAAAUUAAGCAUUUCACUUUAAAAUAAUACCCAUUUGUAUCCAUUUUGUUCAACAUAACAACAGCUG